rnacentral:rRNA from 1 species
GACGAACGCUGGCGGCGUGCUUAACACAUGCAAGUCGAACGGAAGGGCCCUGCUUUUGUGGGGUGCUCGAGUGGCGAACGGGUGAGUAACACGUGUGUAUCCUGCCCUUGACUUUGGGAUAACUUCAGGAAACUGGGGCUAAUACCGGAUAGGAGCUCCUGCUGCAUGGUGGGGGUUGGAAAGUUUCGGCGGUUGUGGAUGGACUCGCGGCUUAUCAGCUUGUUGGUGGGGUAGUGGCUUACCAAGGCUUUGACGGGUAGCCGGCCUGAGAGGGUGACCGGCCACAAUGGGACUGAGAUACGGCCCAGACUCCUACGGGAGGCAGCAGUGGGGAAUAUUGCACAAUGGGCGGAAGCCUGAUGCAGCAACGCCGCGUGCGGAAUGACGGCCUUCGGGUGGUAAACCGAUUUGGCAGGUGACGAAGCGUGAGUGACGGUAAUGGGUAAAGAAGCACCGGCUAACUACGUG